GACAGAGGGUGCAAACGUUGCUCGGAAUUACUGGGCGUAAAGCGCGUGUAGGCGGAUCGGAAAGUCGGGCGUGAAAUCCCCAGGCUCAACCUGGGAACUGCACCCGAAACUCCCGGUCUUGAGUGGUGGAGAGGGAAGUGGAAUUCCUGGUGUAGAGGUAAAAUUCGUAGAUAUCAGGAGGAACACCAGUGGCGAAGGCGGGUCUCUGGACAGUUCCUGACGCUGAGGCACGAAGGCCAGGGGAGCAAACGGG
rnacentral:rRNA from 1 species